AAGGAUCGGCUAACUCCGUGCCAGCAGCCGCGGUAAUACGGAGGAUCCGAGCGUUAUCCGGAUUUAUUGGGUUUAAAGGGAGCGUAGGCGGGCUUUUAAGUCAGUUGUGAAAGUUUGCGGCUCAACCGUAAAAUUGCAGUUGAUACUGGAAGCCUUGAGUACAGUAGAGGCAGGCGGAAUUCGUGGUGUAGCGGUGAAAUGCUUAGAUAUCACGAAGAACUCCGAUUGCGAAGGCAGCUUGCUGGACUGUAACUGACGCUGAUGCUCGAAAGUGUGGGUAUCAAACAGGAUUAGAUACCCUGGUAGUCCACACAGUAAACGAUGGACACUCGCUGUUGGCGAUAUACGGUCAGCGGCUUAGCGAAAGCGUUAAGUGUCCCACCUGGGGAGUACGCCNGCACGGGUGAAACUCAAAGGAAUUGACGGGG
rnacentral:rRNA from 1 species